UUUUGAACUAUUCACUGCCGUCGUCGCAGAAACGCCUAUUCAGUUAAAGACAGGCUGUCAGUCAUCCUGUAUCCUCUGCCCCAGAAGCUCAGCCUGCAGUCCAGUCUGAAUCCUCACCUGGUGUCUCAGGUGGCAGAAAUACAGUUGGGGACGGGCAUGGUAUGCCAGGUAUGGAUCGGGUUGACAGCCUUGCAGAGCACCUGGUAGAACUGAGGACAUAGACCUCCAUGACUCUCAGCAACCAGCAGGUUAGUAAU